rnacentral:lncRNA from 1 species
GCGCCCUCUCUUCUUCAUUUCGCAUGUCGGUGUUUCAUCUUCCCUCUCUCUCUCUUCUCUCUACUCGAACCCUAUCCACCCCAACAUCAACCUGUCCCGUAGCUGCCCCCUCCCUUUAGCACCACCACUAGCCCCUUUUGGCCUCAUCCCGCUUUGGCCCCACGCUCUGCCUCUCUCGUUUCCCUUUGGCCCUGCCUCCCUCG